AGCGAACGCUGGCGGCAGGCCUAACACAUGCAAGUCGAACGAACUCUUCGGAGUUAGUGGCGGCCGGGUGAGUAACACGUGGGAACGUGCCUUUUGGUUCGGCAUAACUCAGGGAAACUUGUGCUAAUACCGAAUGUGCCCUUCGGGGGAAAGAUUUAUCGCCAUUCGAGGGGCCCGCGUCUGAUUAGCUAGUUGUUGAGGUAACGGCUCACCAAGGCGUGGAUCAGUAGCUGGUUUGAGAGGAUGACCAGACACACUGGGACUGAGACACGGCCCAGACUCCUACGGGAGGGAGGAGUGGGGAAUCGAGCGCAAUGGGCGAAAGGCUGAAGGAGCCAGGACGGGUGAAUGAUGAAGGUCUUAGGAUAGGAAAAUGCUUGCAACGGGGACGAUAAUGACGGUACCCGGAGAAGAAGCCCCGGCUAACUACGUG
rnacentral:rRNA from 1 species